rnacentral:misc_RNA from 1 species
AGCAGCCGCGGUAAUUCCAGCUCCAAUAGCGUAUAUUAAAGUUGUUGCAGUUAAAAAGCUCGUAGUUGAAUUUCGGGACCAAUUUGUUGGUCGUGCCUCGGUACGUACUGGUAUUAUUGGUUUCUCCCUUCUGAAGAACCUCGAUGCCAUUAAUUUGGUGUCGUGGGGAAUCAGGACUGUUACUUUGAAAAAAUUAGAGUGUUUAAAGCAAGCAUACGCUUGAAUACAUUAGCAUGGAAUAAUGAAAUAGGACGUUUGAUUCUAUUUUGUUGGUUUCUAGGAUCGACGUAAUGAUUAAUAGGGAUAGUUGGGGGCAUUAGUAUUCAAUUGUCAGAGGUGAAAUUCUUGGAUUUAUUGAAGACUAACUACUGCGAAAGCAUUUGCCAAGGAUGUUUUCAUUAAUCAAGAACGAAAGUUAGGGGAUCGAAGACGAUCAGAUACCGUCGUAGUCUUAACCAUAAACUAUGCCGACUAGGGAUCGGAUGAUGUAAUUUUUUAAUGACUCAUUCGGCGCCUUACG